AGGCACUUCGUGAGGAGCGACAAAAAGAUCAUGACAAGUUAAUGAAAGAGCGAGAGGAGCGCGAGAGAUGUUACAAUGAACUGUUGAAAGAGCGAGAGGAGCGCAUUCAAUUAUCUAAUGAGAUGUUGAAAGAGCGGGAGGAGGGACAAAAGGCAAGGGAUGAGACAAAUGCAAAGGUCGAGCAUCUUAAUAACGUAGUCGCCAAACUGUCACAACUCUUGGGAAUCUAAGUUGGGCAUCCGACGUUUGCUUUUUGAUGUUUUUGGACAUACAAAUGUGGAUAUGUUUUUUUUGACAAGUACGUGAGGACAUUGUUUUUAUAUCUCUAUCCGUAUAUAUAGUGGUUUGUACAAAAUAUUUUUUUGGUAGAGUAAAUAUCAGCUAAUUUGGUAGAAAUUAACAUAGCACGUGGUACAAAAUAGUUUUGUGGCAGUAUAGAAUAUAAUUUUUGUUGUGGUACAGAAGUUAUAGGUGUACAAUUAAUUUGGUUAUUCCAGUAUUAUGUAUGGAAUUAAAUUCUUGACGUGGGAUUAGACAUGGUUCUUAUGAAAUUUGUAAUAUAUAUAUAAGUGGACGUUCAAUAUUAAUUUUUUGGAUGGUUGGAACUGAAA